rnacentral:lncRNA from 1 species
GUAAGGAGACACAAUUUACAUUAUUAUAUAAAAAAAGUUGCAUGCAAUCAAAACUUGGCAUUUCAACAAUAUCCAAAGUUGGUCGAUUCACUGCAAAGUACUUCCCACGGUAGCAACACCAUCAUCUUCCUCAUCAUCAUCACUAUCAUACUAGCUUGCCUUUGCUUCCAUACGGUGUAGGUAUAUAUCCUCUUCAAGCCGCACUUCAACGUGUGUUUUCUCUGCGGCGAGAAUAGCGAGUUCUGUCAUUGUAUCUCGGUCUAUCUUGAGCUCUCUGGGGCUGCGGCUCAACUCUCCUCUGCCUCUCUGGUGAUCGUUGGACUAUCUCUCCAUUCACAAACAGCUCAGCUGUAAAGUCAACAACAGAGCCAUUAAGAAGAUAUUAAUCAGUAACUACUAGAUAACUUGAGUAAGAAUUGAGAUCUAAUCGAGAAAUACAUAUAAAAAAAAAGAAGCUGAUGUAUCUCUCGCAAUUGAUAUAAUCCAUUAAGACUCACUACUUUGCUAAGAUGGAUUAAGUGAAGCAUGAAGCAAAACAAGGGUUGCAAAUAUAUGUUCCAUCUCAACCAGGCUGCAGUUAGAUUAUAAUACAACCAAUCUGCAAAAAAUCGGCUAAGAUAAAGUACUUGAUGUCAGUCCAUUAGCAUUCAAAGCUAAUCAUAGCUCAAAGACUCAUUAGCUUCGCCAAGAUGGACUGAUAAUCAAAAACUGUUUUCAUGUUUCGAGAGGAAGAAAAAAAAAAAGCACUCGAGAGUUACAUGCUAUAUAUGUUCUCUCCUAAACCAGCUUGCAGUUAGAUAAUAUUAAUAACUAUCUGCAAAUAUUAGCUUAGAAGAGAAAAAUAGUUUUGGUGUCAGUCCAUUAGCAUUCAAAGCUAAUCAUAGCCAAAAAGACUCAUUAGCUUUGCCAAGAUGGACUAAUCAAAACAUUGCUUUCAUGUUUCAAAGAGUUGCAAAGUAAAUGGCACAUGUAAAGAUUUAAUUUUGAGAACUAAAACCAUACCAAAACCAAACACAUUGAACAAGAGGUGGAACAAUUAUUAGUUUAUUACCUCCGUAAUCUUUGUUUUCAGGAUCCACAUAGGAAUCAGGAAGCACAAACAGAACACCAGGCAAACCUGUUGAAAUUGUAAACAAAGAAAGAAACACUUAAAGGACACUCUUUUAUUAACACUAGCGAACACAAGAGAGAGUGAAGUGCAAGUAAAGACAAGACCUUCAAGCUUAGUAGAAGUCUCUUCAUCAAUCUCACACCCAAACCCUAAAUACCUCUCGCAAGAAACAUUGUAGAUUCGCUUCUUCGCCUCUUCCUCACUACACAAAACCAAAACAAAACAGAGUAAACACACAGCGACUCAAACACAUCAGCUAAGGUUUACCUUCCAACGACUUUGGCUAAGGUUUGGAUGUAGCAAUCAAUCAUCUCCUGCUUCGUCGCGCCUUCGCCUCCAGGCUUAUCCAUAACAAUCAGCCAGUGCUCGUAAUCGCACCCCGGAAACAGAGGCGCCAUCUCCGUCGGAGGCCGAUCGCUGAAGUUCGAGCCAGAGUUCAGCGGCGAGUAAGCGGAGCCUGACCGGUUAGCUCGGCAUCGGAUUGAGACGAACCGGGUCGAGCAAGCUAACCGAGAUCCAAUCACAUCGCAACCGGAACUAAAUCCGCUGCAGUUAACGGAGGAGGAAGUCUGAGGAGGUGCCACUAAGAUGGAACUGGACAAAAGUGGGAGGAGCGUGAGGUGGCGCGUGCCAGAGAUAGGCAAAGACAAGGCCAUUGUAGUAGGUAGGCGACUGAGGAAGCGAAACGAAGGUACUAGAGGUUUUAGUGUGGAUAGGGUUUUUGGUAGAUUUAUUCAUUUUUGCUUUCUUUAUAUUAUGGAAAAUUAUAUAUGGGCUUCUCAUAAACUUGGCUUGAAGCCCACAAAAUCUAGACCUUCGCAAAUUAUCCGGAUAUCAAGUCCCCCAAACCAGAAGAUCUUGGAACUGUGAAGUUUCCUCUUUCAGCCCACUGCUAACAUGACAGACGUUGUCUCUCCUUUUGAACACACGCGACAGACAUGGAAGAGAGUCGUUAUGUAAUAUGUAUGCUAGGCCUGGGCGUACGGGUCUUCGGAUCGGAUUCGAGCCGGUUCUUUUCGGGUCUUAAAUAUUUAGACCCAAUAGGUAUUUAGAAAUUUCCGGUUCGGGUUCGGGUCGGUUCUUCUCGGGUUCGGGUCGGUUCGGGUUCGGGUCGGUUCGGGUUUGGGUUGGUUCGAGUCUAUAAUUAAAACACCCGUAAUUUUUCGGAUCCAUAUCGGGUCCGGGUCGGGGUCGGUAUUUAAGAUCUGAAAAAGACAUGAUAUACCCAAUUUCAUUAACUUUAGUUGAAUAUUUGUCAUAUAUAUCUAAAAUUUUACAAAACAACUUAAAUGAAACUAUUAAUAACUAAAAUAAAACAUUUUAAAAACUCUAAAUUUUACAUUUUAAAGCUUUAUAUUACUUUAAAAAUGUUAAAAAAUAAUAACAAAUGUUGUUAACAAAAGAUAUUUCAACUAAAUCAUAAUAUAAUAUAUAUAUAAAAUAAACACAAAACAUCAUAGUUUUAGAUAUACAUGUUUUUAAGUCGGGUACAAAUCGGUUCUUAUCGGGUCGGGUCUAUUAUCUAAGGAGAAGAUAACAGUCAAGUUCGGAAGAUAAAUGUCAAGUUUCAAAGGAUAAACACCAAUAUCGAAAAUGGCGAACAUACACGAGAAGAGGAAGGAGAAAAAAGCAAGCAAAACUGAGAAGAGACAAAACUGCAUCUCCGAGAACACUAAGGUAUGUCCGACUUUUUUCAAGAUCAAACUUGGAAUUUUCGUAGGAAGGUACUAAGCAAUAAAACGCUUUUGAGACUGCCAUAGAAUUUUAAGGAACUUAAAACUUAGGUGGAUAGUCUAGUGAACUGUGUCAUAGGCAAUUUUUCCUUUUGCUUUUUAAUUGCUCUGGCAGAUCUUGCUAACUGAUCUAAACUCUCGCAAAAACGAGAAACGAUUGCCACGCAUACUUAGCUCCCUUCCCAAAAAAACAAAAAAAAAAAAAAAAAAAAUUCAAAAACAGUUUCAACAAAAAGGAGACAUACCGUUCCUGAAUCAAAAUAAUCAUAUAAUCAACAGUAAAUGUGUUUUCUUAGGGGGACUUGAUUUAGGCGUGACGGCGCAGUUAAUUGUAACAAAAAUCUAUGUAUAUAUACAUAUGUAUCUAUACAUUUUUCUUAUACCCUUAGCAUUAAACUAAAGUCAAUGGUCUUAGGGUACAAGAAGAUGACACUAUGCAAUGGAACUUAAAACAUAUAUACACAUUUUUUUACAGACAUUAUUGCAGAGAAUCAAACAUACAGAGACAAGUCCUACCCUAACAAUACUCGCAAGAGAACCAUACGAGAGCAUGAUUAUUGGGAGGUUCUUAGGGUGAAGUUUUUAGCGGAAUAUAAGAACCCGUCUCUUAACUUUUAACUAAAAAAACUAAGAGCCGUCUCUUAAAACUCUUAUUUAAGAAGAGCUUCUUAGUUUUUUUAGUUAAAAGUUAAGAGUCAGGUUCUUAUAUUCCGCUAAGAACUCCAUCUUAAGAACCCUCCAAUAAUCAUGCUCCGAGGGAGGAGAGGAAUUUACGUGCGACAACUGGCUGAAGACGAACGGGAAAGGAAGGAAAGGAGAUACGGUUGCUGACGUCACUAGAGGGACUAUGCGAGAUUCUUAAGCCACUGAGCUGUGACGUGACAAAUCGGAGCUCCUUUGACUUAGCGACGAGCUUUGCCGAUGAGGUCAUUCGCAGCCAAGCGCCAUGCGUAGCCAUUGUCGUCAUUUUCUGGAUAAUGAAGGAGAUUGGGCUCUUCUUCUUUUCAUUUAUUUUGUCGAAAAGCCUUCUUCGUCGUCCAGAAGGUUAUAACAUGUUUAGUGGGGUUCUUAGGAUGAUGUUUUUAUCGGAAUAUAAAAACGCGUGUCUUAACUUUUAACAAAAAAAAGCUAAGAACCGGUUCUUAAAAAUUAAGAGACGGAUUUUUAUAUUUCGCUAAAAACCCCAAUAAUCAUGCUCUUGCAUUCCCUAAACCGUCAGUUUUAUUUGAUAACCAGAUAGCGUUUAUUUGAAGGAUAGUAAGUUCGGUUAUCGGCCAAUCUCAGUUCCAAGAGCAAGCCGGUUAAAUCAAAAUCAAAAUCAAAACCGGGACCUUAAGCAACCAAAACAAAAUGUAUGGUUUCAACUUCAUUUUUUAAAUUCUUGAAUGCACAAAUGUAAGGAGACACAAUUUACAUUAUUAUAUAAAAAAAGUUGCAUGCAAUCAAAACUUGGCAUUUCAACAAUAUCCAAAGUUGGUCGAUUCACUGCAAAGUACUUCCCACGGUAGCAACACCAUCAUCUUCCUCAUCAUCAUCACUAUCAUACUAGCUUGCCUUUGCUUCCAUACGGUGUAGGUAUAUAUCCUCUUCAAGCCGCACUUCAACGUGUGUUUUCUCUGCGGCGAGAAUAGCGAGUUCUGUCAUUGUAUCUCGGUCUAUCUUGAGCUCUCUGGGGCUGCGGCUCAACUCUCCUCUGCCUCUCUGGUGAUCGUUGGACUAUCUCUC